AAGUUUUCCAGGAAUGGUGUAGCAAAAGGAAACCUUCACUGAUAGUUUGGUAACAAGUUUGUUACUAUCUCUACCAAAGACUAAUUAUACAACCUGUCAUGGAGAACCUCAGUAUUCUCAUCAUUACAGUAAGAAGAUAGAACUCUGCAAUCUUCAAAUUUACUUCUAAUUCUUAGUUGCUGCAAAGUAGUGAAACUACCAACACCAGCUAGUCUAAUGGACCCCAUGAGGAGCUGACCCUCCAAAGAAUGCAGUUUUCACAGCCUGAUGACUUCAUCUCCCUUAUCUUGACCAAUCUAUGGCCCCACUUUUGCAAUCCUUUACCCACCAUAAUACACUUAUGAACUCCAGCCCUGAACUCCUGGAGGAGAUGGAUUUGAGGGCCUCUUCCUGUCUCCUCACUUGGCUGCCCUGCAGUUAUUAAACAUUUUCUCUGCUGCAAACCCUGCUGUUUCAGUGUACUGAUCUUUUACUGUGUAGUGGGCUUACGAACCUGUUGGUCCUGUAACAGUAUGAAGAAAAGAAGGCAUAAGAAGGUAAAGUAACUUCCUAGUGUAGUGUUCAUAUAUUUAGUAAGUACCUGAGUUGUAAACUGCCACCUUCAAAUGCACCAAGGAAUUACACCAUUAAUCACAAAGACACAGAAAGAACACAUGGUAUGGGGGAUAAAUUUUUAAAAAUUCUAAAGGACU
rnacentral:lncRNA from 10 species